rnacentral:rRNA from 1 species
AUUGAACGCUGGCGGAAUGCUUUACACAUGCAAGUCGAGCGGCAGCGCGGGGCAACCUGGCGGCGAGCGGCGAACGGGUGCGUUAUACAUCGGAACAUGUCCAGUCGUGGGGGAUAACCUGGCGAAAGCCAGGCUAAUACCGCAUGCGCUCGGGAGAGGAAAGCGGGGGACCGUAAGGCCUCGCGCGAUUGGGUUGGCCGAUGUCCGAUUAGCUAGUUGGCGGGGUAAGAGCCCACCAAGGCGAUGAUCGGUAGCUGGUCUGAGAGGAUGAUCAGCCACACGUGGACUGAGACACGGCCCAGACUCCUACGGGAGGCAGCAGUGGGGAAUUUUGGACAAUGGGGGCAACCCUGAUCCAGCCAUUCCGCGUGAGUGAAGAAGGCCUUCGGGUUGUAAAGCUCUUUUGUCCGGAGCGAAACGGUUACGGUGAAUAUCCGUGACUACUGGCGGUACCGGAAGAAUAAGCACCGGCUAACUACGUGCCAGCAGCCGCGGUAACAC